CUCUCUCUCUCUCUCUCUCUCUCUCUCUCUCUCUCUCUCUCUCUCUCUCUCUCUCUCUCUCUCUCUCUCUCUCUCUCUCUCUCUCUCUCUCUCUCUCUCUCUCUCUCUCUCUGACUUCUGACUGUCCGCUGUCCUGUUUCUACAAAUAGGACCAGAAAGAGCCCCGAAAUAAAAACCUUUAAAAGCGUCUCUUUGCUAGUUAGCAUCUGUAAAGUUUAUUAGCUGAUUCUGGUCACUAGCCACAGUUGUACUCGGUCUAAAUUGUUUUUUGCUUAAAAAGUAUUCUACCCUCGACGACCUGCCUUCGCUGAGGGGAUAACGAGCACACAGUCGAUGUGCUGUUAGUAACAUGCUAACCGUUGGCAGUGGAGGCAAAGCUAGCUUAGCACUGUAGCUAAAUGCUAGAAAUUGCAGCUUACGUCAAAAUACAAAGUUGAAUCCAUUCCAUUCAAAGUGUUUAAAUGUUAAAGAUGGAGUCUGUAGAAACACUUUAAAACUAAGCCCCUCCUCCUCCUCCUGGGCUCAUCUCCCCCAGAAGCUAACGCCCCCUGCAGGACGUAGUGUGUACGUUUACUGCUUGUAGCUACACUGCAAGCUAACAUGCGCUAGCACAAGCUAACCGCCGGUGUUUGUCACCUUCCUGUCCAACAGGAAGUAGACCAACUCCACGUCCAUGAGUAAAAGACAACACAAGGUUCACCCUUGUUUUAGAACGAGCUUUAUCCACUUGGUGUUUCUCCUCACUCUGAUUAUAUUUUCUCUUCUUUGCUGCUACGUCCACGUCUGUCAUAUUCACUGAAUUGUAUCCACUCCUAAACUCACCUGCUGCACUGUCAUAGGCUGGAGGAAACACACCAGCUCCGCCCAGAAACGUCCCGAGUCAACCAGAACAAAGCAGAACAGUAAAAUCCAGUCAGAGGACAGAGUCUCUGCAGACACAGUCACCACCACACAUGUACGGAGGCCCAGAAGGGACGAUGGAGCAGCUUCACUUUAGGAUCAGUCUGUAUUUUAUUUUGAAGGAACAAGCUGCUGACUCUCUUUAAAUAUCAUUUUCUCCAGCCCAAUGCAAAUCAUUUGAGGACAGUCUUUGUUCAGAGGAAGCAAACGGUCAUGUGUCUGUUAAAACUUAAAAGUUUGCCGUUUCCAAUGACAAGUUAUACAUUCCAAUCCCCGGCAGCUCUGCUACGUCUGAAGAUGACUUGACAUAUUUAACAGAGAGAAAGAGAGAGAGAGUUAUGAAAUGUUGACAGUCGCCUGCAGAAGGAGGACUAAAUAUGUGUGGCUCUCAGGCCAUGAUCUCUGACUGUGAACUUCUUGAAAAACACGGACAGGAAAUGUCAGUGCUGACAAAACAAAGGCGUGAUGAACGUGCUGUGUGGUCAGUUUUAAUAUCAGCUCUCCACUGGUUUAUUUAUGUGUCUGUUAAAGUGUCAGCAUCGGGACAUGUUUGAUAUACAUUGAGGUCUCGAUAAUGUACGACGAUGUACCACAUUUUAGCGGUAUGUGUAUGUAGCACUCUGUGUUUCACGCUGUACAUUUAGCAACAGAUAGAAUCUGAUUUGUGUCAGCAGUUUUGUUCAACGUUAGCUUGUUAAAUGGAUUAUGAUGGAUUAUUAUUACAGGGGAAACCGGAGUUUGACAGCAGAACAUUUUCUGCAAUUUGUAAUAAUGAGGUGUAAUCACGUCACGGGUGUGCUGUGAGAGUCUGUACUGGAGAUGAUUGCCUUAAGGCUCUUGGCAACACGAGAAACUGAACGUAUUUGUACCGCAAUAUUCAGGAUGAUGGAGCUACAGACAGCAGUGUAACGUUAAAAUUGCCUUUAGGAGUCAGUUACUCAUUUAGACCAGAAACCAAACUUAAUUUAAAGGUCACAUAUCCUCCUCCUCUUCAACCAGUUUAAAUAAGUCUCAGAGCUCCUCAAAACAUGUGUGUGAAGUUUCUUGUUCUAAAUCCACUCUGAUCCUGUAUUUGAUCAUGUCUAUAAACCCCUCUAUUUCAGCCCUGCUCAGAA